UAUACUCUUCAUCAUUUGAUUGUUUACGAUAUGAUUUUGGAGGAAAACUGAUGUGGGUUUGGUUAGAUUUUGAUUUAAUUGAUAUGGGUUUGGUUUUGAUUUUUGUUUUAAUUAUGUGGGAAAUAUUGAUUUAAUUUAUUUUCGUGGGUUUUAUAUUUUUCAUUUCUGUCUUGUUAAUUCGUUUUGUUUCUUUAUCUAUAUCACUGCCGCCUCCUCUACUCACUCACCGACGGUCCUUCACUCUUUUUCUCAUCUGCACAGGCCUGUGAGCCUCCAGCUAAUCGUCCAGCAAAAGGGAGGCUCAUGAGAAUGGAAACCAGACAAAUGGCUGAUUAUGAUCCUCAACCAACAAGUUUUCCACAUAUAAUAAAAGGCCCAUACGGAGCACCAACACAGAAUUACAAGAAGUAUGACAUUCUAUUGCUCAUUGGACUUGGCAUUGGAGUAACUCCCUUCAUCAGCAUUCUUAAGGAUUUCUUAAAUAACUUGAAGGAUACCAGUUCACAGGUGCUGAAUCUAUGAAACGCUGCUCAUCAACAUCUAUUCUUUGUAUAUAUAUGAAUUUUUUUUAAGAUCUUUUUUCUGAUGUGUGUGUUUCUGAAAAAAUGCAGGAUAUUGAGAGCAGAAAGGGCCUCAAAGAUUUUUGGUAUAGUUUUGCAAUUUCCAGAUUUAUGUUCUUUUUUAUUUUGCAAUUAUUGAUCUUUUUUUUUGGGUUGAAUUUCCAUAUUGAAUUGCGUUCAAGUUGAAGUUUUAUGUUGAAGAUUCACUGAAGGUUGAAUGUCGGUUGAAAAAGGAAUUUCUACAUAUUAUUUUUUUUAUUUCCUCUUCUGAAUGUUUGUAUCAAUUCGUCAAAAUUGUUAGUAAUAAGAUUAUACUUCUAGUUUCCUUUAUUAAUUUAUAAUAUUUUUUUUGUUGAUGUAAGAAUUUGCUUGUAACUGUUACUGUACUAAUAACACAAUGUUGACGCUUACAGGUGUCUAUAUAGUAGCUUCAAAUUGCGACAUCUUCAAUUGCAAUGAUGCUAAAAAGCCUCAACAUUUUCGAAGCCUAUGAGUGUCAUAAUUAUCGGUGGCUAAAUGUUCGCUGCUCCUUUAGGGAUAAUGUUUUAUUUCGAUGCUUAUAAACGUAAAAAAAUCCCAAAAAAAAUGUCGAAAAUGUGGAAAUUCUAGUUGUUGUUGCAUCUAAAAACAUCCUUUAAUGACAGACUUAUGGUUGCAUUAGAUGCAACUUAAAAUUAGAGACGAACUUAUGGUUGCCUCUAAAUAUAAAUGGCCUUAUCACCAAUGUAAC